GACGAACGCUGGCGGCGUGCUUAACACAUGCAAGUCGAGCGGAAAGGCCCUUCGGGGUACUCGAGCGGCGAACGGGUGAGUAACACGUGAGCAACCUGCCCUAGGCUUUGGGAUAACCCCGGGAAACCGGGGCUAAUACCGAAUAGGACCUGACCCCGCAUGGGGUUGGGUGGAAAGUUUUUCGGCCUGGGUUGGGCUCGCGGCCUAUCAGCUUGUUGGUGGGGUGCUGGCCUACCAAGGCGACGACGGGUGGCCGGCCCGAGAGGGCGACCGGCCACACUGGGACUGAGACACGGCCCAGACUCCUACGGGAGGCAGCAGUGGGGAAUAUUGCACAAUGGGCGGAAGCCUGAUGCAGCGACGCCGCGUGAGGGAUGACGGCCUUCGGGUUGUAAACCUCUUUCAGCAGGGACGAAGCGUAAGUGACGGUACCUGCAGAAGAAGCGCCGGCCAACUACGUGCCAGCCGCCGCCGUAA
rnacentral:rRNA from 1 species